AGACAGUUUUAUCGUUCUGGAUCUGUAGUACUGUUGUGGAAUUUCGUUUGGUGAAGAAAGCAGACUGACAGCAGAAGUUGUCUUCAAGAUAGUUUACUUUUGGCCAAGAGCAGGUGACAAUGUUAGCUAAUGCCCAGAAAACGUAAUGCCACCCCUUGCCUGUAGUGGCUUUCCAAUUUAUACAAUCUUACACAGCAUGUGCAGAAAGUUAACUGACAAUGGAAUUUGCUGACUAUUAUAAUCCUUUUGGACAUGCGUAGUUGCCUUUUAACUUAUAUAACUCAUUACUCAUCACAUCAGAUGAAGUGUCCAUAGUUUGCUCCACGUAUGCACUAUUCUCAGGUGACAUGUUCAUAGUUCAUCCCACGUAUGCAUCAUCCAGCAGCCAAAUCAUUACUGCAGUUUGCAUGACCUUAUAUUGUGAGCAAAGAGCAAAUGUCAGGCAGAACAUGUCCUGUCAACACUUUCAUGGAAAAACAAGAUUUUUGAGUAAGGGUCAUCUAGGAGAAUCUGACAGCAGUGGAGAAUAUUCCUUCUUUGAGAACCUAUUUGCCAACAUGAG
rnacentral:lncRNA from 11 species